UCCUUUAGAAAAAGCAAUUGUUGGGGAGAAUCUCAUUGGACGCUUUGUAGCACUGAUUGAAAGUGGUGGCUUUGUGUUGCACUUGGACUCCAAACAGUUCCCAGCAGAUACGUCCAUUCGUUUCCCCCGAGAUGAAGAUUUUGACCUAUCUCCCAGUGUUCAGCUCGGAUGCAGGAGCGGAUUUCGAAGAAGUUCAUCUCUUGGGAGGGCGAUCCCAAAUUCCCAAGGAUGUGUUGUUUGUCCUUCAGGCAGCUACUUUCAGAAUGACGAAUGCAUUCCAUGUCCUCCUGGGUUCUAUCAAUUUCAGACAGGAAGCUCCUCCUGCAUCAGGUGUCCUGUGGGAAAAACUACCAUCUCCGUUGGAGCUUUCAUUGCUGAUCACUGUAUCACGGAUUGUCAGAGAAAUAGGCAGGGUUUACAGUGCAGUGAAGAUGGGCAGUAUAGAACUUCCCAGGCUGAUCCCAUCACCAAGAAAUCCUUCUGUGCUGAUAGUCUUGGAAUGACACUGGACUGGACUGAAACAGACCACCCAUUGACAGAUUCCCAGUGCCUCGGUAGGUAUCAGAAAAAUAAUUGCGCUCACUUUGAUCCUAUGCAAGUAACUUCUCCUUAACAAA
rnacentral:lncRNA from 1 species